GGCUGGGAAUGAAGCUCGGUGUGAAGGCCUGGAUUCAAUCCCUAGACUGCAUACAUACAUACAAAAAAAAAAGAGUGUGGUAUGAUCAAACUUGUAUUAUAGACACUCUUUCAUGACGUUAUAGAGGGCUGCAGUGGGCACCUGCUGCUUUUGUCCCUCUGAGGAUACAGAACCCCCUCCUGAGGGGACCUCUUCCAUGCGGUCUGGUGAGAACUGAUUGACUUGUCCCCCAAACAGCGAGUGUUCUCAUGACCCAGGCUAGGUCAAAGGAGCAUCUGAGCUGGCCACCCUUGCUGCUUCAGGUACGGAGCUGCGAUCCCAGCUUGUGGCACCCAGCUGGGCCCAGAACUUGGCCAACAGAGCUGCUAGGAAAGACCGUCUUAUUUUGGUGAAGUCUUUCAACUGGUAGGAUGGGAAUGUAGGGCUACUGGUGACCAAAAAGUCAUGCAGAGAAAAUAUUUCUGAGAUGGCAAGAGACAGAGCCUGAAGGAUGGGGUUUGAGGCACAGGGUUCAGCCAUAGAUAACACCAAGUGGAAACAGGCAGCUGGAAGAGCGAACCCCAAGGACGUUGCUGAGAUACUAGAUCCAGACAUUCCUGAUGCUUACUCCAUCUUCCCUUUCACACUCAGUAUCCCCGAUACGCGUUACCUCUGAGGUGGUUUGUAGAUGUCCUCCGCCCUAGUCAUCCUCUUCUGGAUUAAGAAGUACACACUAAUUCCCUGGGGAAGAGUUAUAUUACAAUCAAGUACACGAUGGACUCUUCUCUGAAGAAAUUGAGAUAUGAGUUUGAUUCCCAGGGCUCAGGUGGUGGUGAGGCUUUUGGGGUCCUGGCCAUGGCUGUGAUCUGGGGGUAUCGCCACAUCUAUGAAGAACAAACCAACUCGGCUCAACUAAGGGAGUUCUGCAGUCAGACCUGGAGCAACCUCGGUUUCUAAGUGGGAGGGAAAGGAGUGUGUCCCUCCUUUACAGUCCAAAGCAUCCAGGGCUGCCCCCAAAUACAGACGAAACCACUCAGCCAUCUUUACUGUGAAUGAGCCAAUUCAUAAUUUAAAAAAUGCUCUAAGAAAAGUCGAGAGGAAGGGAGCAGGGGAAACACAGAGACGUGUUUCUAUUAUCUGAGCGGAGGUGUGGUGUAAGUGUGUCUGUAUGGGGUGUGUGUGUGCACACAUGGAGCAGGAAGUGGUGUGAUCACUUCUUUCCUGAUCCACAAGGUGCUGCAGGCCCCUUGGUUGAGGAGACCCGAGGACCUGGCUUUGCAGGAGCAGACCAUGCUUAAACGCCAAGAGAGUGAGCCCUCCAGGCUCCACAGGGCCUCCCGAACCCCACCCAGUCCUGCUCUGUCUUCUUCUGGCUCCUAGCAAGUUACAAAAUGAAAACCCAGGCGACUGGUGCUUGGAUAACCCCAAGUCUUAUGGCCUUAUGGGCCCACCAUGACUUUUAAUAUACAAGAGAAAAUGGAUCAAGCCCUCAGCCCCAAAGAGGGAAACCCAGGGCUUCCUGUAAUACUUCUGGGGAUUUGCUCCCAGUCCCUCUUUACUCUGAUAACUAUGCUUCUACUGAAUGCCCUCCCUCCUUUUCUUUCUUCCCUCAUUCUUCCUUCCUUCCUUCCUUCCUCCCUCCCUCCCUCCCUCCCUCC
ensembl:lncRNA